GGAAGUUCGUGGAACGAGCGGCGGACGGGUGAGUAACACGUAGGCAACCUGCCUGUAAGACUGGGAUAACUCGCGGAAACGCGAGCUAAUACCGGAUAACACUUUCUAUCACCUGAUGGAAAGUUGAAAGGCGGCUUUUGCUGUCACUUACAGAUGGGCCUGCGGCGCAUUAGCUAGUUGGUGAGGUAACGGCUCACCAAGGCGACGAUGCGUAGCCGACCUGAGAGGGUGAUCGGCCACACUGGGACUGAGACACGGCCCAGACUCCUACGGGAGGCAGCAGUAGGGAAUCUUCCGCAAUGGACGAAAGUCUGACGGAGCAACGCCGCGUGAGUGAUGAAGGUUUUCGGAUCGUAAAACUCUGUUGUCAGGGAAGAACAAGUACGAUAGUAACUGAUCGUACCUUGACGGUACCUGACCAGAAAGCCACGGCUAACUACGUGCCAGCAGCCGCGGUAAUACGUAGGUGGCAAGCGUUGUCCGGAAUUAUUGGGCGUAAAGCGCUCGCAGGCGGUUCUUUAAGUCUGAUGUGAAAUCUUGCGGCUCAACCGCAAACGUGCAUUGGAAACUGGAGGACUUGAGUGCAGAAGAGGAGAGUGGAAUUCCACGUGUAGCGGUGAAAUGCGUAGAGAUGUGGAGGAACACCAGUGGCGAAGGCGACUCUCUGGUCUGUAACUGACGCUGAGGAGCGAAAGCGUGGGGAGCGAACAGGAUUAGAUACCCUGGUAGUCCACGCCGUAAACGAUGAGUGCUAGGUGUUAGGGGGUUUCCGCCCCUUAGUGCUGAAGUUAACGCAUUAAGCACUCCGCCUGGGGAGUACGGCCGCAAGGCUGAAACUCAAAAGAAUUGACGGGGACCCGCA
rnacentral:rRNA from 1 species